UUACUCCUUUUAUUCAGAUUUAAAGCCAUGUCAUAUUCACGUUUCAAUGAUUUCCAGUGUGGUUUUGCACUAAAAAUAUUCGGGGAAUUAGUUUGGAUCAAUAGAAAACAAUUGUAAACCGUGACACCAUCUGUGCGUAUGGAGGAAGGCUGGAUGAAAUCAAGAGGGUAUCUGUGCUUUCACAAACAAAAUGUUCUGAACUGCUGCACUGCGAAGUACUGAUAACUCUAAAUAUUAAUAGUAAUAAAAAUGGACUAAAACCAGACACCAGCUCUGUAAACUCUCUCUCCAUUUCCUAGGGCCGUUAGCUGCCUCUGUUUCUAGGACUAAAGAAUCAGCUUCGGUCCAGACAAGGGUGGAAUUGUGCCAUUGGUUUCUGAGAAAAUCACUCAAGUGGGAGAAAGAACUAUGUAAACAAGCAGAAAGAGAAGAACACAGAAAUUACAGAAUGCAUUACCUAUUUCUCUGAGGCACAGGAGAUCAGUCUAUGGAUGGUAAGCUUCUAAGUUCCAGAUUUGCAGACUUUAAAGCCAAUUACACCAUACUUCUGGUUUAUUUUGGCCUUCCUUCUACCAGGCCACAGUUCUCUCAGUGUUAACAAUAACAGAAUUUUUCCAUUUGAACAAUUUUCAGUAAAAUGAAAAACAAAUGUCAGUUAUUCUCAUCUGCCAUCACAUAUAUCCCAGUGUGACUGGAGACAAAAACUGCAGAUUUUAGGAGGGCACAUGAAGACACAUUUUACUGAAGAACAGAAGGAAGGAUA
rnacentral:lncRNA from 1 species